CUUAAGCAUAUCAAUAAGCGGAGGAAAAGAAACCAACAGGGAUUGCCCCAGUAACGGCGAGUGAAGCGGCAACAGCUCAAAUUUGAAAUCCGGCGCAAGCCCGAGUUGUAAUUUGCAGAGGACGCUUCUGGGCAGCGGCCGGUCUAAGUUCCUUGGAACAGGACGUCAGAGAGGGUGAGAGUCCCGUAUGCGACCGGCGCGCACCCUCCACGUAGCUCCUUCGACGAGUCGAGUUGUUUGGGAAUGCAGCUCUAAAUGGGAGGUAAAUUCCUUCUAAGGCUAAAUACCGGCCAGAGACCGAUAGCGCACAAGUAGAGUGAUCGAAAGAUGAAAAGCACUUUGGAAAGAGAGUUAAAAAGCACGUGAAAUUGUUGAAAGGGAAGCGCCCGCAACCAGACUCCGCGGCGGCGUUCCGUCGGCCUUCUGGCCGGCGCACUCGCCGCCGCGGGGCCAUCAUCGUCUGGGGCCGCCGGAUAAGACCCGUGGAAUGUGGCUCCCCUCGGGGAGUGUUAUAGCCUCGGGUGAUGCGGCGCGCCCCGGGCGAGGUCCGCGCUUCGGCAAGGAUGAUGGCGUAAUGGUUGCCGGCGGCCCGUCUUGAAACACGGACCAAGGAGUCUAACAUCCAUGCGAGUGUUCGGGCGUCAAACCCCAGCGCGUAAUGAAAGUGAACGGAGGUGGGAGCCCCUCGGGCGCACCAUCGACCGAUCCUGAUGUCCUCGGAUGGAUUUGAGUAAGAGCAUGGCUGUUGGGACCCGAAAGAUGGUGAACUAUGCCUGAAUAGGGUGAAGCCAGAGGAAACUCUGGUGGAGGCUCGCAGCGGUUCUGACGUGCAAAUCGAUCGUCAAAUUUGGGUAUAGGGGCGAAAGACUAAUCGAACCAUCUAGUAGCUGGUUCCUGC
rnacentral:rRNA from 1 species